rnacentral:rRNA from 1 species
UACGUAGGGUGCGAGCGUUAAUCGGAAUUACUGGGCGUAAAGUGUGCGCAGGUGGCUGAGCAAGUCGAGUGUGAAAUCCCCGGGCUUAACUUGGGAAUUGCGCUCGAAACUACUUGGCUCGAGUGUGGCAGAGGAAGGUGGAAUUCCAGGUGUAGCGGUGAAAUGCGUAGAGAUCUGGAGGAACACCGAUGGCGAAGGCAGCCUUCUGGGCCAACACUGACGCUCAUGCACGAAAGCGUGGGGAGCAAACAGG